rnacentral:rRNA from 1 species
GGAUCAUUACUGACACUGAGGAACGAAAGCAUGGGUAGCGAAGAGGAUUAGAUACCCUCGUAGUCCAUGCCGUAAACGAUGUGUGUUAGAUGUUGGAAAUUUAUUUUCAGUAUCGCAGCGAAAGCGUUAAACACACCGCCUGGGGAGUACGACCGCAAGGUUAAAACUCAAAUGAAUUGACGGGGACCCGCACAAGUAGUGGAGCAUGUGGUUUAAUUCGAAGAUACGCGCAGAACCUUACCAACACUUGACAUGUUUGUCGCGACUUUAAGAGAUUAAAGUCUUCGGUUCGGCCGGACAAAACACAGGUGCUGCAUGGCUGUCGUCAGCUCGUGUCGUGAGAUGUUGGGUUAAGUCCCGCAACGAGCGCAACCCUCACUUUUAGUUGCCACCAUUUAGUUGGGCACUCUGAAAGAACUGCCAGUGAUAAGCUGGAGGAAGGUGGGGAUGACGUCAAGUCCUCAUGGCCCUUACGUGUUGGGCUACACACGUGCUACAAUGGCAUUUACAAUAGGAAGCAAGACGGCGACGUCAAGCAAAUCCUAAAAAGAUGCCUCAGUUCGGAUUGUACUCUGCAACUCGAGUACAUGAAGCUGGAAUUACUAGUAAUCGCGGAUCAGCGCGCCGCGGUGAAUACGUUCCCGGGUCUUGUACACACCGCCCGUCACACCAUGGGAGUUGGUUCUACCUUAAGGCAAAGUCUAAAACCUUUGACCACGGUAUAGUCAGCGACUGGGGUGAAGUCGUAACAAGGUAGCCGUAGGGGAACCUGCGGCUG